ACUCAAAGGAAUUGACGGGGCCCCGCACAAGCAGCGGAGCGUGUGGUUUAAUUCGAUGUUACACGAAGAACCUUACCAGGGUUUGACAUGCAAGUAUCGGAAGGUGCGAAAGUAUCUUCCACCCUCGGGAGGCUUGCACAGGUGCUGCAUGGCUGUCGUCAGCUCGUGUCGUGAGAUGUUCGGUUAAGUCCGCUAACGAGCGCAACCCUCACUGUGUGUUAUAUGUGUCACACGGGACCGCCGGUCUUAAGCCGGAGGAAGGUGGGGAUGACGUCAAGUCAGCAUGGCCUUUAUAUCCUGGGCUACACACACGCUACAAUGGCCAACACAAUAGGUCGCUAAGCCGCGAGGUGGAGCCAAUCCAUAAAGUUGGUCUCAGUUCAGAUUGCAGGCUGCAACCCGCCUGCAUGAAGAUGGAGUUGCUAGUAACCGCAGGUCAGCUAUACUGCGGUGAAUACGUUCCCGGGGCUUGUACACACCGCCCGU
rnacentral:rRNA from 1 species